GACAUGAACCGAUUUGAAUUUUUCUGCAGAAAUAUGCUUGUUGUCAUUUCAAUGAUUGAUGUUGUUUUGAGAUUGUGAUGCUUUAAAAUGUAAGAUUUUAUUUUAGAUAACUGAAUCAAGAUGCCAGCCUGUGCUGUAGCUACAUGUAAGGUCUGGAGUGGAGGUUGGUCGAACAAGAAAACUGAAGCCUCAUUUUUUAGAUUUCCAAAGAAUCCCGAAGUCCAGGCUGCGUGGGUGCAUAGGUGUUACCGCCAAGAUCAAUUCAAUGUAAAAAACGCUGUUGUGUGCUCUGAACACUUUGUUGAGACUAUGAUCCAUCAUAUCUAGUCAAGAGAACUCUGAUGCCAAAUUGAAAUGUGAAGCCUUCACUGAAACCAGAUGCCAUCCCUUCAAGGAACCUACCCUCAGCCUCAUCACUGUCAAGGCCAGGAGAUGACACCAGGGGAGGCCGACUCGAGCAGAGGAAGGAGAGGGUGGUGGUGAAACAGCUUCUUGAACAAGGGCCUGGACAGAUGGAGAUCAGUGGCAGCGACAGCAGCUUCGCGAUCCAGCCGACGAGGAGGCUGCCGAGCAGCACGAGCAAUGGGAGGCCGCCUACCAGUCGGCGAUGGGCCAGCCGCCUCUGCCACCCGCCCCUCCUGCUCACGAGGACAACAGUCCGGACACAGAAGAGGCUGGGCCAUCCAAUACUCGACCGCGGACCGCUGAACUCGGCGUCAACCGCGAGGCGCUCGCGUUCGUGGCCGGCUAUGUGGCAUUCAAAUACCGGCAGAUCCGCGGCGACCUCGGCCAACCGACCUCGUCUUCUCUGGCGCCAGCGUCCGUACCGAGCCGCUGGCUGGAGACAAUCAGCCGCGGCAGCCUCUACGUCCCCAGCCAGUGGUGGAUGGGCGUGGUGGAAGAUUUCAACGACACGUUCAGUGACGUGAUGGGGCCGACCGCGGUCAAGACGCCUGGCAUCGUGAAGCGCCUGACAGGCUGCGUGCUCGCCCGACCUCCAGGGCUGGACGAGCGAAUCGCCAGGAAGCUGGUAAGCACGCGGCUGCACCUGCGACUCCGCUGGCUCAACACCGCUCGAGCAGCAGCUGAAGCGGAAAAGUACCAGCUGAGGAAGCUAGCCCAACACGCGAAGAGCAAGCGGUAGUCGGUGCGCUCACCUCCUACGCAGACGAGGCCGUCGGUCGGCACGUUGCCUUCGGACAUUAUAGGAUGUGCAAUGUGCAUACUUCUGUUUGGACAGAGCGGCGGCGCCUGGCCGCCUGCCAACCUGUGACCCCGCCAGUUGGCCGGCUGACAUUGGCCGGAUGGGGCCGGUCGGUGCGCUCCUCGUGUGUGCGGCCGGUGUGGUGGGGCGACGGGUGAUUCUCGACGGGUGAUGGGCGAGUGUUGAAUGAUUGAGUCGCGUGACUCGGAGCCGGUCGGGGUGAGUGACUCUGAGACGGUGGGGUGGUUGCUGCGGUCGCUGUCUCGCCCCGCCGUGCCGAGCAGCGGCACGCCGAGGACGAGAGUUCCAGCCGAGUGAUAUCGGAGUCAGCCGCGGCCGUGCGCUGCUUCAACAGCCUACCUUGUUCGACAUCUGGUACUGGCUCCGGUGGGGGGUCGUAAGUGUAACGGUGGCAGGACCUCUAGUGACAGUCACUCAGCUGAUGACUCUGCUCACCUAGAUGUUUCUCGGAUCAGCGAGGGCAUGGACUCAAGUGCGGCCGUCUCUGGAGGUUCAGUAAACCGCCGACAGACGGGGCUGGACAGACCUCGCUGCUGGACUGUGCGCGGGAGUCGGUGGUCCAGCUGGUGUACCUGUCUCCACCGUUGCGGAAGGAGGGUGUACACAGUAGCGGUGGAGGCGGCGCUGGAGGUUCAGUCAGCGGUGCCGACCGGGUAGCUGGGCAGGCGACUACCGAGAGAGAUGCCCGGUCCUGUCGGCCUCUCCACCGGACGGACGGCACACGGGCGGGAGAUCUACUGGACGAGUUCGGCUGAGUCCGCCCCUGCCGGUGCCACGCCACAGGGCGGCUAACCCGCGGCGGGUCUAGUGAACUGGGGAGGAGGGGGAGUGGCAGUGAGUCGCAGAGGGAAGGGGCGAUGGUGGUGACACCCUGACAUUCUAAUGUUCAACCUACUGGACGCUCAGUGCCAUUGCCAGAGCCAGAUAGUACAGGGAACGGGUCGGGCCGGCCCUGAUGUCGCCAGGGCCGGGAACCGGUUCAGAAGGGACGGGACGGUGUGUCUGGAGAGGGUUUCUCAUCUGGUCAGGUGAUGAGCUUGGGAGGUUCGGAUGUGACUCGUGUGUCCAGCCAGGUGGACAUUACAUAGAGAUUGUUAUUAGAGAUGAGUAGUUUCUUACAGAUGUUGUCUCUGCUGUGAACACGGUGAACUGUUUCACACUACGGUUUGUGAUACUGAAAGCUGUGAAAUGCUUUUGAUGUUGAUUGAGUUUCGUUCUGUUGAAGCAGUUCCUAGUUCUACUUACUAUUUGUAAUGUGCUAUGACCGUCCGUGAUGUUUUCCGCGGCCUGAUGUGGACGUCAUCACGAAUGAUGCCCGAGGCGGCUGACCGAUGUUGUACUUCAAUCCUAGUAUUCUGAUGCCUGUGAUCUAGAGGGUACUGUGGUAGGGUACUUCAUCCAUCGGCGUCACUUUUCGGCACGGUGUUGUGAUUGGCCAAACUGGCCGUUUGGUGAUCUUGAAUUCUUGAGGACACUGACAGUCUAAUAGAUCACCGUAUGGUGACUGCUGUGCUCCCUCAGAGACAUCUGGUGACUAGCCACUAAGGUUCCUACCCCUGGGACAUGUCACAGAGGACAAUCUGCCGACGCUGUUUUCCCUGUUCCACCCACCAGACGACGUCGCGCCGCACAUCAUCAGGAUAGGCAGCUGUGAGCCGUCUCUGGCCACGAACAGCCGGUCUCGGUGGUGUGCGUGUGCCGGCGGCCGGCGCUGUGCGUCGCCUAUGACCAGCAGAGUACCAGCAGAGUAUGCAGAUGCACACGGUGUGGCGUGUGCGGCGCACCGAGCCCACCGAGUGGUGGGCGCCCGACGCCGGCGAGCUCACCAUGGCCGCCACGCCGCACUCGCUCUCGCGCUGUCGGUCGGAUCGUCCCCGGGCUCGGCGCACGGCUCGUAGAUCAGGUCCGAGGGAGGCACGCCGCUGCCACGCAGCAGGAACAACAACCGUCUGAACGUCUCCGCGGCACUGCAUAGCCUCUCGGCCGGACCUAGACAACCUGGACAAACAUACGCGGAUAACGAUCCCUGGCUCCCUGCCGACCGACAUUAGCCCAGCUCUGCCGUGGAUUUUCAUAGUGCAUUACCUUCCAUGAUUGUGAUUGUCGGGAGUAUGUAUAAGACAUUUUCGAAAUUUUAAACGAAUAACAUGUGUUCACAAGUCGCUCUAAAGUAUCAUUGAACGAAAAAAUCGAUGAAAUCGACGUAUUUUCCCCGAUGUUUUGAAGUUUUUGAAGAUGCUGUUACGCAAUAGCGGAAUGACGGCCUCGAGCUUCAGAAAGUCAGUGACGUCAUUUUCGUCAGCUGAGCAAAAGUAAACAAACGCGAAAUGCUGUUACCUCCUAUAUACGGCCUUGCUAUUAAUCACAUUUCAUCAGGGUUACCAAAGCUUGGGAUUUGUCCCAAGAUCUUGGGAUAUUGAACCCGACCUUGGGACCUUGGGAUUCAACAGCAAACCUUGGGAUUUGUCCCGAGCUUACGACUCCCGCUAAGUGCUGUUUUAGAGUCAUAUUUUUCCCAGGUUUAUGUUUGUAUGAUAUAAAACUUUAUCGGAAUUCACUGGGAUUGUAUUGCGUAUGCAAGUGGACUUGCAUACGCAAUACAAUCCCAGUGAAUUCCGAUAAAGUUUUAUAUCAUACAGACUCCCGCUAAUUUUAGCACAUUUUUUUAAUCAUUGGAAAAAGGAAAAGUAUUAAUAAAGACCAAACAAAGGAAUCAGGAACACAUCUAACACAACUUAAUUGUUUUUUUUUUUGUAAACCGUCCUUUUUGGACGAACACAACCGAGCGUUCUUUCGUUUGGUUUCACUGUACCUUACCAAGCAACCAACGAAGCACGAAUAAGUUAUCCUUAUUUGACGCGUCUUCACUUUGUUCUCCCGUCUCAGCUCUCAAGUGAGGCAUUUAGCGAAAUACCCAGUGGCUUCCGCGUCGAUUAACACCCGGCCUGGCCGCCUGUUUGCGAAUUGUGACGCCCGACGGAUCGGAGGCGGAUCCAGCUCAGAGUUUUGGGGGGCAAACCAUAAAAUUUAUCGAUUCUUUCCAUGCAUCGUCCAUAGGCGUAAUGUUAAAAUUAUGCCGUUUGGGGGGGGGCAAAUGCCCAUUUUGCCCCCCCCCCUUUGAUCCGCCACUGCGACGGAUCAUGCUUCAACUCGUAAAACCCAGGCAGGUAACUUGCUGUGUCUCUGUACCUAUGCCUGCGUGUGUAACUGUGCCGAAUGCAAGUUAUGUUAACGAUAUUGAUUUAUUUAGUCAACCAAAGAUUUGAAAAUACGUCAAAUACACUUUAUUUGCUCUA